rnacentral:lncRNA from 1 species
CAAUUGAUUAUUCAGUCUGUGGCCUUCUACUGAAGGAGCAUACAGAAUCUCACCUCCAGGAGCAUGGAGCUCUCUUGGAUAGGAUCCUGCUUUCUGAGGCCAGAGCUUACUCUCCUAUGUGAUCAGAGGCUUUCACAGCAUCCGCAGUGGUCUCCAGAUCAGCCCUAUCAUGGAGGCUUGGUCCAGAGAUCUUCAUAUGAAAAGGGAAAUAAUAAGUGUCUGGGAGACACUUCUGCAGGGAUCCUGCCCUGUCUCAAUAAUCUCCCCCAUGGCCACAGAAAUACCCUGGGAUUUUCCCAGGAGCUAGCCGACACACACAGAUAGAUUAUGAACUUCAGAUAGAAGCCCCAGCCUAGCCCUCACUCUGAUACCUGUCAUCCCCAAACUGCUCUGAAGUGCUUAUGUGCUGGUAUCUCCCAAGAGUCUGCAUGUCAGUGUGUCUGUGCUAGUGUAAUUUAUUUAGAAAAGUGCAAAGGCAAAGGGCAGGAUCAACAGGCAAAGGGCAGGAUCCUGGAGGCUGGAUCUAGGGUCCUCUUACCUGAUUUAUGUCACUGAUUUUCCCAAAUAUUGAUAAAAAUGAAUUGAUCUCUAGGUGGCAGAGAAACAGGAGGAACCCUAGACUACAUAGUAAGUAGAAAAUAAUGCUGCAUGUCAUUUAGAUUGAGCUCAGCCCUGAGUCAUGAAGUCUUCAGAACAAAGGAAUAGUUCUCCCUUAUCUGAUGCUCACUGUGGCCUUGGGCAGCCUGGCAUCGAGAAUUCUCAGCAUGUUCACUCUUGAGUUCUGUGCCUGCAUCACACAGCAAUGGAACAGUCCCAAAAGAUUCUUAAGGGUGGGGAAAGGCACUAAGAAAAGAUGAACCUGCAGUCCCUGUUAUACCAUCUGGUCUAAUUGAUACUACUGUUGUCAAGCAAAAGGAGCUCUCUCCCUGAGGCACUGGAAGCCAAUAUUUUGACACCAGGUUUUUGAGAAAGAAAAGUUUUUUAUUAUUCUGCCUGCCAGACUGAAACACAAAAAUACUCACCUGAUUCCUUCCCACUGCCAGGACAGCCCAGUUUGUGUGACGGUCAUAACAGCACUGUGUGGGAAGGAGGCAGCCAGACCCUGAGAUAAAGUUGCUAAUUACCAGAGGCAAUUACAACUUUCUCAUAAAUGUCUCCAAAGAGACCACUGAAGUAUCCAAAAGAGGCUCUUACUUUUUCACAAUCCCUGAAGACUGCAAGGAGCAGAAAAUAUUGAGGUUUGAUCUGUGAGGCACUUGUAGAGAAGCAUGUUUGUCUCACUGGAUUUCCUAAUUCUAUGAGAUACUCUUCUUCCUAAAAUCAAGCUCAUCCUUAAUUUGCAGAUCCAUUAUGUAAGUAUUCAGCAGGUAACUGGAAUCAGAUAAAGGAUCUAGAAUGGAUUAAUAAAAAAUGAGAUAAAUGUGAGAGAAAAGCAUGGAGUAAUUUGCAUUAGAAAUCGCUGGACUCAUUUGUAUAAUUAAAUGUAAAUUAAUUUAGAAAUGAUAAUAUGGACACGUUCUAGGAAAUAUACUUUACUAUUGUGACCUCAGCAGUGACAGAAAAAGUCUGGACAUAAAAAUAUUCUAAAGAGAAAGAUGUGAAAAAAAAAAAGUCUCUCACAAAUAAAACACAAGGAUCACAUGAUUUAACAGCCAAAUUCUACCAUUCUUUUUUUUUUUUUUUUUGAGUUGAAGUCUUCCUCU